rnacentral:lncRNA from 1 species
GGUAGCUUAUGCCAUUAUUCUUGAUUUUCUUCUCAUUUAUUCCAUGACAUUUUCAUCUCUAUAUCAUGUAAACCCAAUUCAACAUUUUCAUCUCCCAUUUGAGAAAACAUAGGGGUUUUUUUCUUAAUCUAUGUUGAGAACGGUUACGCAUAUCUCAGACCAAAUCACCCUUUUCCUUAGUUCAUAAAGACUUUCUAGAAGCUUGACAUUCAUGAUGACUUUGUGAUCUUACUGCAUGCAGCCAGAUUUAACAGCCCCAGGUGUACACAUUCUGGCUGCCUGGUCACCAAUUUCUCCAAUCUCUCAAAUGAGUGGUGAUAAUCGAGUAGCGCAAUACAAUAUAUUAAGCGGCACGUCAAUGGCUUGUCCACAUGCUACUGGGGCAGCUGCCUACAUCAAGUCAUUUCACCCCACCUGGUCUCCUGCUGCUAUUAAGUCUGCUCUUAUGACUACUGGUAAUGACUGAAUUUUAUUCCCGACCUUUCAAAUUAUGAAAGAGGUGAUAGUAAUGGAUCUUAGUCCUUUGUGUGUUCUGUAAGCAGCUACUCCCAUGAGCGCUAGAAAAAAUCCGGAAGCCGAAUUUGCAUAUGGUGCAGGCAAUAUUGAUCCUGUAAGGGCUGUGCACCCUGGUUUAGUGUAUGAUGCCGAUGAGAUUGACUUUGUAAAUUUUUUGUGUGGAGAAGGCUAUAGUUUUCAGACUCUACGGAAAGUCACCGGGGAUCAUAGUGCCUGUUCGAAAGCUACGAAUGGAGCCGUUUGGGAUCUAAAUUACCCUUCUUUUGCGCUUUCCACCUCCAACAAAGAAUCCAUCGCUCGCACAUUCCACAGGAGUGUCACAAACGUUGGAUCACCGAUGUCUACAUAUAAAGCAAUUGUUAUAGGUGCCCCAAAGGGACUCAAAAUCAACGUUAAACCAAACAUUUUAUCAUUCACAUCCAUCGGGCAGAAACUUUCUUUUGUGUUGAAGGUUAAUGGACGGAUGGUUGAAGACAUAGUCUCUGCUUCGUUAGUGUGGGAUGACGGUUUACAUAAAGUGAGGUCCCCCAUUAUUGUGUAUGCAGUCCAAUAAAAUUCCAAAAGCCUGGUGUUUUGUAGCAGAAGCAUCGGAAUUGUGGUAUCUAUCAUGUUGAACUAAAUGAUGUGGUAUCUAUAUAAGAUGGAAAUAAAUGAUAAUAUUUAGUAUCGGUUGUAUUACCUGUCCAUACGAGCUAUUAGAUCGAAUACCAAUCGCACGAGCGACUUGAACGCCCGGUAGACCCGAAGGUUCGUUCUCAAUACCCUUCUUUCUCCUCUCCCGGCCACUUUUCUCCUAGGCGGCCAGGCCCAUCCUUUCUUUUUGCUCUCCCUAGGCACUUUUCUCCGGGGCCCACCGCACCUUUAUGUGAUACUUUAAGGACGUAGCUUUAUCAUGGUUGAAAUUAUUGCCAAAACAUAUAUAUUUAAAUAAUAAUCAAAUAAAAAUUUCAUAAUUAGACUAAUUUUAUUCAAAUAUACACUUAAAUAAAAGUCAAAUAAGAACUCCAUAGUUAUUUUCUUUUUAAAAAAAAUCUUUUAUGGGACAAGUUAUUGUUGAAAGUACAUGUAUCAAAUUUCAUGCCUUUUUUUGUUUCUCUUUAUUUUAUUAAUUUCUUAUUUUAAAAAUAUUUUUAUAUAUUUUAAAUUUUUUUCUACAAAUGUACUUAUGUAGAAAAAUUAAAAUUAAUUACAGUGAAAUAUAUUUGUACCAAUCUUCAAGAGGAGUGAAUAAAAUUAAUCUUUUUAAACAAAUCAACAUACCUUGAAAAUAACCUAAAAAUAUUUUAAAAGAACUUUUGGAAAUAAUUUUGUUCUAAUUUGGAAAAAAAAUUAUAAUUAAAUUUAAAUAAAAAUUAUUUCAUUAAAAAUGUCGUCAUCUUUGAUAUAUCUGAGGGUUUUUGGCAUUUUUUCGGUUUCCAUGUCAUGAUUAUUUAUUAAUUUGUAAUUUUAAAAUUCUUUUUAAAAUUUUUUUUACUCCUAAAAGAUAAGAUAAAAGACUCAUACCUCAAUUUUGUUUCAUCAAAAUUUGAAAAAAAAAAUUGAAAUAUAUAUAUAUAUAUAUAUAUAUAUAUAUAUAUAUAUAUAUAUAUAUAUAUAUAUAUAUAUUAGUUUUAAUUAGAGAAACAAAUUAUUUAUUUAUUAUUAAAAAAGAUUGGCUUUUAAGAUUAAAUGCUUAUAAUAUGCCAAUCACUAAAAUAAUAAAAAAUAAUUCAAAAAAAAAAAAAACCUCUAAUAUGCACUCUGUCAACAAUACAUUUGUAUUGAUUUUACAACGUAGGUAUAAAACAUUUUGUUGUGAAUAUGUUACAAGAUACUUGAAAAGUGUAGUCCUAUAAAUUUGUUUUAAGAUGAUUUUACUUAAUUCUUCAAAAAUGGAAAGACCAUUCAUGGUAUUUUCUUUGUAUUCACAAUUAAAAAGAGUGCAUGGGACCAUGUAAAAGGGAAUACAUUCUCUAUUUUAAAGGAAUGAGUUUCUUCUCCCACACCCAAGAGAAUUUGACAUUGUGGAAUAAUUUUUACUUAGGGCCUGUUUGGAAAGUGUUCUUGAAAACUGUUUUUUGUUUUCUAGAACAAAAAAGGAUGUUUCUAUUCUCCGUGUUUUCCAUGUUCUCAAAACCCUGUUUUCUGAUAACAACUUCAAGUUGUUUUCCCUGUUUUUUUGCACCAUUUAGAGGAAAAAAGAGGUGGUUGUUCUCCGUGUUUUCAAAAGGGUGUUCUCCUUGUUCUCGUGUCUCUCUUUCUUAGGUAAAACGUGUUAGCCUUAACCCUUUAAAAUCAAACCCAAUUUGAUAGUUCUGAGAGUAGAGAAAGAGUAAUUUAGAGGCUUUCCUAUUGAAUUUUCACCCCUCGACGGCAGCUACAGUAGCCACGGCCACCGCAAUCACAUGGCGUUGCUCGGCGGCGGCAGCAGCAGAGACAUCAUCAUUCACUGGUGCAACACCACCACCAUCAUUGAUGCUGACGAAAGCUGCAACCUUUCAUUGGGUUUGUGGCGAUGCGGUUUCUUGGUUCGUGGGUUUCCGGAAGAUCAAUCUCCGUUUCUCUAUUUUCUACGCAAAACCCAGCAAACACCACUAUUGCAUCCAUCUACCCACCACUUCAAAUAGACCAAAAAACAGAAUAAAUUCAAAAAUUUCAACAAGAAAAAAUCUCAAACCUUUUCUUCAUCUUCCUCCCGGUCAUGUUCCUCUCUUCUUCUACCACCUCUCUUAUCAGUCUCUUUGGUAGGAGAUCUGAAAGCCCUUUUCACAGCAAUCAACCAUGAACUUCCCCCCUUCUUCCCCAUAACCUAGCCGCAUUUACAGCAACCCAGCUAAACCGAACUCCACAAAACAAGCAGCAGGAGUAUAAUUUCAAUGAUGUUUUGACCUAAAACAUGUAUUAGUAUAAUCUAUUUAUGAUUAAAAUAUAUAUUUUUAAAAUGAUUAAGAAGUUUAUCUUUUGUGUGAAUAAAAUAUUAUUAAAAUUAAGUAUAAUUAUACAUGUUUAUAAAGUAAUUAUUUAAAAAAAAUUAUAAUUGAUGUAAAAAUUUUAAAAUCAAAUAAAUUUUAAAUUCAAAUGAAGUAUAAAUUCAAAAAUUAUUUAUAUAUUUAUAAUAUCAAAUUAAUGAAAAAAAACUUACUAAUAAAUAAAUAAAAAGCAACUCCAAACAUGCUUUUUUUUGUUUUACUUAUUUUAAAAAAAAUAUUAAUUCAACAAAACAUAUUUUUUUAUUAACUCAACCAAACAUGUUUUUUUUUUUUAGAACAAAAACUAUUUUUCAGAAUUCAGUUCCCAAACACAAUUUUUUUUUUUGAAUACGCAAAAAAUUGUUCUUAAAAACUGUUCUCAAAAAUUGUUUUCCUGAACAGUUUUCGAAAACACCAACCAAACAGGCCUUAGUCAUCCAUGUACAAAACAUUUGUUUCGAUUUGUGAAAGACAUUUUGGAUAUAAGAAAACAUUGUACAUCAAAUAAGGACCCAUUGUUAUGUUCGCCCUAAUAUAAAAUUCCAAAAUCUUCGUGUUGGUAUCAACGCAUUGGAAUUGUGAUAUAUAUAAAAUUGAAAACAAAUGGUGUGACAUGAGUAAGAUGGAAACAAAAGAGAAAAUUGUAAGCUUAUAAUAUUAAGGAAAUUUGGAAUUAAUUUUAAAAUAAAAUGUGUCAUUAAUUAUUUGACUAGUUUUUUGUAUAUGACAUGGAGGGUUGUUUCUCAACGUAACGUCGUAACACAUUGCUUAUUAAUAGGAUAUGUGAAUAUUAGUUGUGGAUUAACACCUAGAGCCAGCUUGAGGUUGAUUGUGGUGUUAUAAAACUUUCAAAAAAAGACUCAUAAAUGUAGUCUUCCUCUAUUUUAUCUUUUUCUUAAUUUUUCUAAUAAAUAUAUAGACCACAUUACAAAUCAUGUAACAAUACAAUCUCCUACAUAGUUUAAUCAAUGUAAGUCAUAUGCCGAAAAAAAAUCAAUACUCCUAGUAUAGGAAAUAAUGACUUAUUCAUAAAUACGAAUCUUAUGCUAUAAUUAAAUCAAAAAUAGAAAUUAAAGAAUAAUAAAGAGACGAAAAAAUACAUGAAUAUAAGGUGAAAAAUCUUUAAGGAGAUAAAGAACUAUGAACCAAUCUUAAUUAAUUACAACAUCUAUUAUAAAGGAAAUGUCUGGUUCAAGAUUUUACUUAAUAUACGGCUUCCAAUUCUCUCCAAGGCCAUUUGUUUAGUAUUUUAGGGAUCUUAACUUUCCACCGUCUCCAUGUGAAACUUUUUUGGAACCCCUUCAAACCUGAUUUUGGACUCUUUUUGAUAUCCACAGAAAAAUACAUUUAACCAAAAUGAGAGUAUGAACAAAAAUAAUGGAAUUAAAUGGUAGUAAAUAAAUCUAUUAAAUAUAUAUAUAAAAAAUGUAUAUAAAAUUACUUCAUCAAGAUGUGAAUACAAAGUAAACACCAUGAAUGGUCUUCCCAUCCCUGGAGAAUUAAGUGAAAUCAUCAAAUAGUGGAUGUUGUAAAACUUCCUUUCAUCAAAUAGUGGCCGUUCAUUUUCCAGUUUAUUUUUUUAUUAUAUUUUUAAAAAUAAAUCAUUUGAAAUGUCGUGUAAGGAGUAACUCAAGCAUUUGAAAAUAAUAUAUAUUGGACUUUGUAGGUUGAUCAUCAAAUGUGUAUCAUAAGGUUUAAGCGGUUAGAUUUGUAUCUCGAUUGUUGAAAGUGUACAAUAAAGUUUAAAUCAUCAAUGAUGAUGAUGCAAGUAAUGGAAUUAAGUAUAAAAAAAUAAAAUUAAGGUAACAGUGACAAAAUCAAAGUAUAAAAUAAUGAGACAAAAUUCGGUAUAAAGAAAUGAAAUUAUAAUAUAGACGUUGAUUAUUUGUGCUUUUUAAUACUUAUCAUCGAUUCAGUGUUACAGAGGGGCCUACGAUGAUUAAAAGAGGAGGAUUGAAAGGCUCAGGUAUAUAUACAUGUCCAAAGCAUCAGAAUGUGCAUAGCUUACCAUCUAAUGGCAAGAAAAAACUCUUUUCUCUGGUUUCUCCUUCUUAGUCUCAUCUGCACUCUGGUCUGUACCCACAGUACUGCAGCAGCUUCGGAGGAUGAUGGUCGAAAAGCAAUAUACACCCAUCUCUCUUUUGUUUGUUCUUAAUGGUCUGGUCAUUACAUGAAGCAUGAAGCAUGGGCCAUGGCCUAAUAAUUUUUACAUGCAUGCAUGGCAGAAAAAUUAAGAUUAAUCUUGUGUUGAAAAUCAUGGUUGAGUAGUGUUAAUAAACUGGAUUUGCACCAAAAAUAUUGUGGAUGCAGGAGUAUAUUGUGUAAAUGGGUGCCAAGCCUGCCGGAUUUCUCGGUAUCUGCCAUUCACACUGACAUGCUGCAGCAAGUCUUUGGCAGGCCAGUAUUCACUUUUUUUUUUCCCUAAUUUUUUUAUUACAUAUAUGGUACCUAAUUUUCCCCAUGGAAUGCCUUUCAGCAGUAGGGCAUCAAGUUCUCUGGUCCGCAGUUAAAAAAGGAGUUUCAAUGGAUUCGUAGCGAAACUAACAGAAGAGGAAAUGCAGCAAAUAAAGGGUGGGUGGAAUUCAUCUUUCUGCAAUUAAUUGAAUAUUUCGGAAGUAAUUAACUCGGGCAUGUUACAUAUGGCUAACAAAUAAACUGUAACUUUGGAGUUUCAGGACUGGACGGGGUAGUCUCGAUUUUCCCUAACGAAAAGAAACAGCUCCACACAACAAGGUCGUGGGAUUUCGUGGGGUUUCCCCAACAAGUUAUAAGAACUAGUGUUGAAAACGACAUAAUCAUAGGAGUGUUAGACAGUGUAAUAUGGCCACAGUCUGACAGCUUCGAUGACGAAGGAUUUGGUCCACCGCCUAGCAAAUGGACGGGGACUUGCCAAGGCUUUUCCAAUUUCACUUGCAACAAGUAAAUCUUAUUGACAGAGUGUUUAAAUACCCUGCUAUAGUUAAAAGUUCUAAAAGUUGAAAGACUAUAUAUCCUUAACAAAAGUUUCAAUUAAUGUUAUUGCAGUAAAAUUAUUGGAGCCAAGUACUAUCGGAGCAAUGGACAAUUUAGCAAAGAAGAUUUGCAAUCCCCAAGAGAUUCAGACGGCCACGGGACACACACUGCAUCCACUGCAGCUGGGGGCCUAGUUAACAUGGCAAGUCUCAUGGGCUUUGGCUUAGGGACUGCUCGGGGCGGGGUUCCAUCAGCUCGGAUAGCUGUGUAUAAGAUAUGAUGGUCUGAUGGCUGUUUUGAUGCUGAUAUUCUCGCAGCAUUUGAUGAUGCAGUUGCUGAUGGGGUUGAUAUAAUAUCUAUUUCAGUUGGGGUAAAACUCCCACAAAUUAUUUUGAAGAUCCAAUUGAAAUUGGAGCUUUUCACGCAAUGAAAAAACGGAUACUAACAUCAGCUUCUGCUGGUAACCAUGGACCUCAUCUUGCUUCCAUCACAAAUUUCUUGCCUUAGUCUCUUUCCGUGGCUGCUAGCACCAUAGACCGGGAUUUCUUUACCAAGGUGCAACUAGGCGACAAUAACGUUUUUGAGGUGAGUAAGCUUCAUGGCAGUUCCUUUGCUUACACUUCGAACUAAUAACCAUCACACACAAAUUUUUCAUUUAUUAAAGUUCCAACCAUGUGAAACUGAUUUUUGGAGGUUACAUCAUUGCUCUUUGUGUAGGGAGUUUCAAUAAACACAUUUGAGCUCAAUGACAUGUAUCCUUCCAUUUAUGGUGGAGAUUCCCCGAAUACUGCAGGAGGUAUUAGUGGGAACAGAUCUAGGUACUUAUUAAAGAUCAAAGAAAAAGAGUCAAUGGAUAAUGAAAGCCGUAAGUUAGAAAUCCUGAAUUUUAAAGAGUGUGUGAUAUAUUACAAGACUUUCAUUACUGAAAUGCAGGUUUUGCGAAAUAAACUCGAUGAACCCAAAUUUAGUGAAGGGUAAAAUUGUCCUUUGCAUUGGGCUGGAUAGAGCUGGGCCUAAAGAUGCAUUGAGUGCGUUCUUGGCAGGUGCCGUUGGGACUGUGAUAGCGGAUGGACUCCCCAAAGAUUUCAGCCUCAUUUUUCCCUUGCCUACAUCUCGCCUUACUGCAGGAGAUGGUAAUAGAACUGCCAAGCUACUACAUCAGCUCAACAAGGUAUCAAUUAACACAUCUUCCUACUUUUAUUUGGAGAUGAUUGUAAAUAAUAUAAAUGAUAUGCUAAGGAUUUGUACGGCAUAUAUAUACUCAGUCUUAGUCUUACUACAUUUAAACAGUAACCCAACUGCAUCGAUAUUGAAGAGUAUUGAGGUUAAUGACACAUUGGCCCCAUAUGGACCCUCCUUCUCAUCAAGGGAUCCAAACCCAAUUACACACAAUUGUGGACCCGUUUUUUUCACCUACGUCCCCACUCAAUCGGCGAGACUUGCUUUUAUUUGUGAAAAAUUAUUUUUGGAAAAGUCGGAGUCGCCACUUAUUUUAUUUUAUUUUAAAGGAAAAAUAAAAUAAGAAAUAAAACCCUAAAAAAAAUUACUCCAAAGUUUUUGGAAAAACGUGUCUUUGAAAAAACUUGAGUCUGGAUUUGGGGAUCAAGUUACUUAUUAGGAAGGUACCUCUAAAAGGUAGCACCCCUCUAAGCCCUAUAAAGGUCUCUACUAACUAAGUUAAGGGAGAUAAGACAAUUAAUUGAUUAAUUGAGGGUACCUAGGUAGACUAAGGUGAUUUCAAAAAAUAGUAUGUCAAACAAAAUCAAAUCACAAUAAAGAAAAGUUAAGAUGCGUACCUGAAUGGCUUCUUAAGCGCCAUUAAAAGACAUCAAAGGUUAGUUUGAAAAUAUGACAUAUAACAUGCAUUUUUAUCAAAGAUGAUCAAACAAGCAUCAAGGCAAUCAAAUAUGACAUCAAACAUGGACAUGACUCAUGAUAACAUACACAUUCAUAAAAUUUUAGAGUUGGAGGGUAGAAAGAGUGUACCUGAUUAGCGAGCAUCCACACGUCUAUGGAAAACUAGGUUAGCUUAAUAACAGGUAUAAACACUUCUCAUAUAUAUCAUAAAGAAUAAUUAAAAUCAACCAAAUAUCAAACAAUCCCCUCAUUUGAAUCAAUAUUAGAGAAGAUAUCAAGAAUGUCGGACCCCCCACCAAGGUCCAAAUUGCUUUUGCACGAAUUGAUUCAAUUAUUCCUAUUAUUUAGAACCAUGAAGUUUAUUCGUGCUUGAGGAAAAUCGAGAAAAUCAAGAAAAUGGUUGAAAGUCAAAAAAAAUAGUGAAAGUGCAUGCCAAGAGGAAAAAUGGCAGCAAAAGAUUAUUGAAAUCUAGAUUUUAUUGUUUAAAGAAGAUCCGAAGAUGAUUCUCUAAAAUCAGAGUUAUUUGGAUGAAGAUGAUUUUGAAGACACAAUUCAUAACAGGUGAAAUCACGAGGAAUAUGAGAGGGGUGGAAAAAGGAAGAGGGUAGUGUGCACCAGAGUGGCCAUGUCGGAGCGAGGCUUGGGGGUUUAGCUGUAGCUAGAUUGCUGAUGGUUGUUUGAAGAGGCCUCUGUACAUUGCUGGCAUGUCUGGAGAAGAGCUGGCCAUAUCCAUUUCAGAGCAUGUGCUCACUUGCUGUCAAAGCGAUCGCCAUGGUCGGGACACAUGGGCAACAUAUAAUGAAAAAGAGGCCACAGUUGCUGUUUACAGAACCCAUGAUAAAACUUUUAUGCAGGUCAUGAGGUAAAAAUGUUGGUACAUAAUUGAAAUCCUCCAGCAGUUUCUGUGCAACUUCUUCCUGUUCACUUGCAUCUAUUUCAACCUUGAGAGACCCCACAUAAAUGACCUCUGUUUCAGGGGAGAAACCAUCCUUUAAAUGCAAUAGAAAGGCAUCUUCAUCUAAACUGAAGCACCAUUUGGCAGUCACUUUAUCUCUUUCAAGAUGCAGCCAUGGUAUUCUCUGAUUUAUCUACAGCCAUGAUGCUUUGAAAAUCCGUCGUGAGUCUUCUCAAAAAUCUGGUGAAGCCCCUCUUCAAAAAGCUGUGUUGUCCCCCUGAAAAAUCUGGUCAUUCAUUCUUUUCAAGAAAAAGGCCAUACUUCCUCUUUCAAGAUCUUCAUUCCCCAUAUUUCUGAAUUUAAAUUCCAGAAUCUCAUACGAAAAUUGAUUGGCUGCAGAUAUUUCUGACAGAUGGCUUGACUCCAACAUGUAAUAACUUUCUAUGAAUUCUGGGUUCACAUCUGGUCUUAGAAAAGUGUAGAAAAAUUCUCUUAUAUUAACAUUUGAAUUCUGUUUCUAUUGUCAACUUGCUUACAUUCAAUUUUCUUCAACUGAAUGCUCGCAUCUUAAUUGAUUUUCAGAUGUCCAGUUUACUGAAUAACUCCUCAUUCUUCAGGCGUAUCAAAUUGCCCAUAAUCAGAAAUUAACUCUCAGUCAAUAGGAUUCAGCAACUUAUUCGCGUGUGUGAAGGCAAAUGGGCAGUAAGCUAGAGACUUUCUGAUGGAUCCUGCAUUUCUGGACUUUCGAGAGUGGCUGCCAAGAAGACACCAAGCUCCACCAUCCUCUUGUUCCUCCUGAAGGCUUCUUCUCGACGGGCUUCUUCUUUGUUUUAUGAACCAGGACCUGAAUCUGGACAAAAAGGCAGCGUUUACACCAUUGACCGAAUUAAGACUUCCGACUUUUCAUUUUUUUUUUUUAUCUUGCACCAUCUAGUUGUGUUUUCUGAUCUUACACAAUUACUGUAGGAAGACGGACUUUUGCCACUUUCAGAAGGUACAUGAAACUCAGGUGUAACGCCCAUCAUCUUCCAAAUAACACAAAGAACAUCAGACGCUGUCUUCCAGGAUUUCUGUGGAGCUUUUCUUGGCUUCAACUUCAUUGUAUCUGCUUUAAAAUCGGUAUCCUUCCAGGACUUGAUAACGCAGGAACAGAAGAGAUGAUUUUUGGAAAUGAGAUUGCUACUGUUGAACCAAGAACUGCAGAUUCUGCUGUUGAACAGUCUUCCAUAGUCAGCCAACAAUGCGUGUCCCCUCAGGAAAACUUUAAAGAAUGAACUGGAGGUUGUUGACUUGAUGCUUAUAGGACUGCCUUUUCUGAUUCAUCUUGUACUUUUACAUCAUUUUCUGUUUCAUCAGUGAUCUGUCAGUAUCAGAAAGGAUAGAAAUGCAUUUUCGCUUUGAAGGAGGACCUUGGUUCUCAGCACCUCAACUCAGGCUAAGUUUGCCUGUUUGUUCCCAUGUUGAAGCAAGAAAAUAUAAAUGGCAGUAGUAUUUUCUAAGCAGCUCGGCAUGUCUUGCGUUUUGUAAUUGACUCUUGAAUUUCUCAGCCUUGAAGGAUGCUUUCGAGAUGCCCAUGGAGAACUUCAUCCUUUCCAGAAUAUACGAAAUGGAGUUGAGAGCAAGUUGAAUUCUUUUAGCUUCAUCUUUCUCAUGACAAGAAUAAACUCGAAUUCUUUAAAGUCAUUUGAAUGGGCUUGCUCAACUAUUGAUUUCUCAAAAGUUCCAUGUGGAAUGGUUUAAUGCAGAAAAUGCUAAAUUUUCCAACAUGAGGAAAAUGAGAAGAAAUGCAGGAUCUGGAAAUGAUUUGAAGCAGCUGAGGAACUCGAGCACAUAUACAUUCGGAGGUCAACAUUCUCUAAACCCAUGGUUAUUUGUCUAUUCUCUGACCUGAUGUUCAUAAGUUUCUUUAAUCACACAAUUUCAGAAACUUAAUCAAAAUAUGCGGUUUUCUGUCCAUUUUCUGGUUGCCUAUAGAGAGGUUUCUGAAUUGAUCGUCACUGGAUGAAACACAGGAGACUCAUCAAGGAUAUCUGCUGUGUGCAUUAAAUUGUUGUGCGUCUCCAAAUAAAAGUGUUCUUGGCCUCCUACUUGGAUUUCUCUUUCUAUGAUUUUCGCCAAACAUGUGAGAUAGCAAUUGGUCGAUGCUUGUGGUCCAUCUCUUUCCCUUAAAUACCCGAACUUGCCACCUCUGGUCUGUUUGAAGGUCCGUCAACUCACUAGCAAAGAGGAUAAUCAAAGUAACAUGAAUCACCUAAUUUGCAAUCACUAUUCAAGAGGUUGGUUUAGACUUCUUUGUGUCAUCUGGUGCUUUAGUAGAGCCAUUAAUUGUCGCUGCUGGGCAUUCUUAAUCUGAUCUCUAGUCGGGGGGUGGGGGGGGGGGGGGGGGGGGGGGCGGGGGAAAAAAAAUUUUUUUAAAAAGGCCCAAAAAAAUUUUUGGGGGAAUUUUAAAAUUUUUAAAACCCCUCUUUAAUUUUUUAAGGGGUUAAAAAAAAGAAAAAAAUAGGGGGGGCGGGGCCUUUUUAAAAAACGGGAAAAAUUUAGGGGUUUAAAAUUUCCCCUUUAAAAAACCAAAUUUUUUUUUCCCAAAAAAAAAAAAAAAAAAAAAGGUUUUUUUUCCCAAAAUUUUCAAUUUUAUUAAAAAACCCUUUUCNNNNNNNNNNNNNNNNNNNNNNNNNNNNNNNNNNNNNNNNNNNNNNNNNNNNNNNNNNNNNNNNNNNNNNNNNNNNNNNNNNNNNNNNNNNNNNNNNNNNGGGGGGGGGGGGGGGGGGCGCGUGGCAACAAUGAUUGUUAUAAAAGGACCAGAUUAAUCUUCUGGCUGACUUUGAAGCUUUCAGACGUCAUCUCUGAGUCUCUGAUGUGAUCAAAGCAAGGAAAAUAUCAUGGCAGUCGGGCUCUUUAUAAAAUCGGUGAUAGCUUAGGGGUUUGAAAUUGCACGCUUCAACAACCUACUAUCGUUUCUCCUAAAAAAUAAUAACAGUAACAGUGUCAUGUCUCCAAACAUCUCAAGUUCAAUCAGAGACCCUAUUCCAAUAUCUCCAAUCUGAAAUUUCUAAGUGCUCAUGCUCUGGAACCUGUGACUAUGCUACUUCAUCUCUGUUUGUGCGCGGACAAUUGAACUUUUCCUAUAAUUUUCUUUUCUGUUUUUCGAGAUUCUCCGUGCUGAAGGAGGCCUCAUGAUGAGUUAGAAUUGUCCUCUUUGGCAACGGCUCCCUUAAAAGAAACGGGAAGAAGAUCUGUAUCCCCAUUAAAAGCUCUACUAAUCCCAUAACAGUUUCAGAAUUCUGAACCAGUUGGUCUCUUAGCCGGACGAACAGAUGAAGUCUGUAUGUGAUUCCCAUUUAUUCAUCAAGAGCAAACUGAAGACUCUUGAUGUCAUAUCCCAAGCUUCAUCCCAUCCAAGUCCUUCAUCAUUCAUCAGUAAUCGCAUCAAUUCUGGAAUUGCACGGGUAGGAUGUGUAUCGUUCAACUGCACUGCUACCUUAUUGUGAAAUUCAGACCAUUGGCUUGAGCCCCCAUCUUUCCUCCUUGAAUCUGAAAAUAAUGUCCUGAAGUGAGGCAUUGCAUAGGAAAAAUUGUUGCUUUGGUUGCAAGAGCUUUCCAUUUUCUGUAGCAUCUCUAGGAUAUAGAACAACACAAAUCUGCUGAGCUCGAGAAUGAAGCUGUGCAGGAGCUUCAUAUUGCCCAUCACUAAAGUUGACCAUCUGCCCAGAAUUGCAGCAUUCUGCUCAGAAUUGCAGCAUUCUGCUCCCCUACAGCAUUCCUCAUACUAUUUUUGGUUGCUAGUAUUAAGCAAUACUGUUCAAUACUUGGAUUUAAAAAUGCAGCGUGAUUGGAUGAAAGAGUAGGCUUGUUGAUCACAGAAUCCAUUUGGCAGCCAAGCAUUAUCAGAAAAGAUAGGAAAUACUUCCCUAGUUCCUACUCUGUGAUACUUGCAAGUCAGACUCACAUCGUCUUGGAAGAACACGAUCUACAGGUUCCAAUAGCUGCAAAACAUAGACGAAAUCCCCUGCUGUGAUGGCCAUUACGUUUGCUGGAGAAUCCCAAAAAGCACUGCCUUUACCACUAAUCUUCGAACCACAACUUCAAAAGCAAAGUUGGAGAAUGUUACUUUCUGAAGCAACAGACACAGAGAAGCACUCAUAAAGAGGCAACAGUUGUUCUUUAGUAGAAAAUAUGGAUGCCAAAUUUGGGCUGCUUGUCAGUAAGUUCUGGAGAGAAGUCAAUCCAAACUGAACACUGCUUCUGUCCACUGAGGCAUUUGAUGCCACUCCUCAAAGGUCCUGUAGAGAAUAUUCAUUCAGAUCAAUAUCACCAUUGUGCAUGGCCUGACUAUAAGUGCUGGUGCCACCAUUGACAAAGGUUUGAUUGUAGGAACCUGCAAUGUGAUUGAUCAACCGAUUCUUUUCUGUAAAAUUGCCAUCCCAAUUAUAUAAUGUCUGACUCAGACCUCCAAGAUCAAUUAGAUUCAGAUUCUGAACCACCCCAUUGCAAUUCUGAGUUUCACGCCCACCAGGAAAACCCAAGAGUACUUGCCAAUUGAUUCUUCCUGACUUCAGAUAAUUUAGUUUAUGUCUUCUGUGAUUUCAUUUUUAUUUCCAAAUUGAUUUCUGCCAUCAAACUCUUGCAGUCUGCUGCCAUCCCUAUAAUCUUUUCUUUGUUGUAAGGGAUACGACAUGCAGGGCACCGAACCUCUGUUUCAUCCUCCUCAGCCAUGUUCAUUGUGUCACGCCAUCACCAAACACAUAUCUCACAACCACAUUUGCAUGGCUUCAAUUUGCUAGUCGGUCAAUUCCAUCUCUUCAGCACAGAGAGGACAAGUCUUUUCUCCUUCGUCACUCAUGGUUGUCACCAGAUACUGUUCAUCUAACUUUACCACUCUUGGUGGUACGCCUAAGAUUAUACAUCAACAUGUACGCAUCACCAGAUGAGUAUGUCUAUGAACCACUAACAAUACUACAUUCUGAAGAUUGUAGCUGACCAAUAUUUAUAUGAUUUCCAUUCAUGACACCAUUCAUUGGUUCAGUGGAAGACAGAUGAACAGAUGGCUCAGUUUGAACAGGUUUAGCAGCAGAACUUGAAGACCCCUCUCCAAAUGGAUGAUGACCCAGGUUUGAGACAUGCUCAUCAUCAAAUUCCCACCAUUGCCCUGUAUUCUCAUCUUUAAUAUGAGCUAUGUAAUGGCCACUGUUCACAGUAGUCCCCUCGUGAAUCAGCACAGCUGACAAGUCAUAUAUUAGUUCAAAAUCAGAAGGUUCAGACAACCUUUCUCUCAUAUCCAAUUCUCCAGGAAAACAGAAUGCAGAAGUGAUUAUCUUCUUUGUUGUAGUCUUUGGAAGGAAAACACAGCGCUUGAGCUGGAAAUUAAGGACAUAAGGCCGUGUGGGUAGCUUAAUGCUACGGAUGGCAUAAAACCAUUGGAUGAAUCAACAAAGUCAUUAAGUACAUUACUGAUCUCCGUGAAAACCCUUCUCCUUGCUUCUGUAGAGUGAACACAAGCUGCCACUAAAAAUUGACUAGCCCAGGUUGCUAGUUUAUGCAUCCAAUCAUCAUCAAUUUUUCUUUUUUUUCUUUGUUUUUUGGAACUUCUGGAAUAUGGAAGAAACCUAUGAAAAAUAUGGUGGGAUAUUCCAGUAGUGCAGUACACAAUAGGACCCCUUUCUCAAUUGUCAGGUGGCUCCCCAUUCUGCCUUCUCCUAUCUGCUGAAUCAAUCAAUCCGUCCUUGAGAAUAGCUCUAAGCCGUUUAGACCCAGGUACAGAUGAAAUUCUCUCCCAAGUUACAGUGUCCCUAAGCCAACACAAGCAGAUAACACAUUCACCAGUGUGAUCUCAUUCAGUUUCACGGACUGCCUUCAUGAGACAGUAUAAAUCAAUUUCUUCCUCAGAAAGUCCACACUGCACAUAUCCCGUAAUGAUGGCAUUCCAAGGGGGGCGACUUCUUACAAGAAACACCAUCAAAGAUUUUUCAAGCUUUCUUCACAUUCCCGCACUUGGAAUACAGAUCAUUGUUACCGCAUCGAGCAGGACCUCAUCAGCCGAAAUAAGCAUCCGGAAGACAAACUCGACAUCUCCACAAAAUCCCUUUCUUCCCCAUACACGUUUAUCAUUGCAGUCUGGAAAACCACAUUCCUUCUCAUUGGUAUUUCUUCAAACAACUCCCACGCUCCUCAAUCUCCCCUCAGUGUACAUACCAUGAAAUGAUCGAAUUUUGAGAAGCCACAUCUCUAAUCCCCAUAUGAAGAGCUCAUGGCCAUGUGACGGGUAGGAGGAAAAACAUAAACAAGUAUAGUGGAGAGUAGAGGAAACAAAGAGAGAACAAACAUGCGAGAUUGAAAUAAGAUAAAGCCACAUCUCAUGAUCUUUCAAUGGGCUCAGGCUAGUGGGGAAGAUCACAAACAGAUUUGGGACAAAAUAAGUACGCAACCAAUAUCAACAAAACAAUUUGUGGCCCUUUCCAUCCACACCAAUCAGCAGUACAUUAAAUAUUCAGAAACGAACACACGGAGAAAUCGAAUAUGGGUAAGAAUUCCAAGAGUAACAAGAAGCAUACUCGGACAGCCUUGGUUGCAAUUGCUCCUUUCCCGCUUCCUCUGUGCUUCUCCCAAAAAUCCCCCUCCCUCUUCUGUUCUGCCCCCACACUUUUAAAAUCCCUCUCUUGCGUCUUUGUAUCAGUUUUUUUUUGUUUUCCUUUUGUAACCGAUUCCACCAUGGAAAUAAUAUAUGUGCUAUCCCUCUAAAAACAAAAUCUCCUCUUUUUCAAAAUUCUGUUGAUUCUCCUUCCAAAUAGAUGGCGGCCCGUUCCUUAUGCCCAAAAAGCCAAAAAAUAUGAUUUAGAAAACUUGUAAUAAAAUGAAAUUAAAAUAAUAAAGAAAGUCAUACAAGUCACACAAGUCAUUUAGGUCAUGCAAUCAUGUAAGUCAUAUAAAAAGUGAGUCUAAAAGUACUUAAGUGGGCCUAAGUGAGCUUAAGUGGGCCUAAGUGAACUAAGCUCGAUGAAGUGUCUAAGUGGGCCUAAGACGUUUAGGAUAGUGCCUAAGUCUAAAUUAGAGCCGUCAAGGUCAUAAUGUGGAGUCGGAUAAACCCUUCAACCAAAGUCUCCAAAGUGGCUCAGAAAAUAUAAGUAGUAAUGAAUAGCAAUGGGCCACCAAGGAACUACUGUGGAGCACUGGAAGCGAACUUAAAGAUAUGUGCUAAAUGGAUAAAAUUGAGGGUCUACAACAACCUUCUCAAGGUAGUUUAUGCAAUUAUUCUUGAUUUUCUUCUCAUUUAUUUUAUUACAUUUUCAUUUCUAUAUCAUGUAAACCCAAUUCAACAUUUUCAUCUCCCAUCUGAGAAAGCAUUGUGGUUUUUCUUAAUCUAUGUUGAGAGCAGUUACACAUAUCUCAGGGCAAAACACCCCUGUUUCCUUAGUUCAUAGACUUUUCAGUAGCUUGACAUUCAUGAUGACUUUGUGAUCUUACUGCAUGCAGCCAGAUUUAACAGCCCCAGGCGACAUGGUCACCAAUUUUUCCCAUCUCCGAAGUACCUGGUGAUAAUCGAGUAGCGCAAUAUAACUGGCACGUCAAUGGCUUGCCCACAUGCUACUGGGGCAGCUGCCUACAUCAAGUCAUUUCACCCCACCUGGUCUCCUACUGCUAUUAAGUC